AUUAUUUCUAUACAUUAAUACUAACUUGAAAAGACUUCUUUGUCAGGUUAAUCUAACAUCGAAACCAUUACUAUAAAUGUUGUUAUUUAAACAACUAGUCGGUAAUCUACGGCGUAUUAUCUAAUAUUAAUACUACCAUUAUGACUAGAAAAUCGGAGAGAAGUUAUCUUCUCUUAUAGCUCUUUCUGCUUUUAUAUAACAUUUCAGCGAAAUUUUUAAAAACGGAAAGUGAAUGUAAAAUCGUAAACAGCCUAACAGUUUAACCACUUUAACUCUCGAAAUUUUGUAAAAUGUACUUUUUAACAACCAGUAGCAAAAAUAUCUGUUCUGAAUACAGGGCCUGCCUUAGCGGUGGGGGGAGCUGGAGAUCGCCCAAGACCGCUAGUUAGCUGGGGUCGCCACAUAAAGCUGUAAAAGUCUCACAACCGAAAAUUACACUGGAAAUAAAGGGGAAAAUGAAUAAGUUUUUCUACAGAAAUGCAGCUGCAAUAAAAAAUUAUACAUAAUGCAACAGGUAAUCAACAGCUGUUUUUUAUCCAGGGCAUCGAGUAAUAUUCUAUCGGAUCCGUCCAUACAUCUUUCCGCAAUUUGAACUCAUCUUACAACUUUAUGACAUCAUCUUAUUCUAUAGCUAACUUAUAAAAAUAAAUGUGUAGUUAUUCUUACAACUAGAUUACUAGAACUUUGACCACAUAUUGAUUUACAGAACGACUCGGAUAUCAAGUUAAACAACAGAAUAACCAUAAUAACCAUUCGAUAUUUUGUGAAUUCUUUUCUUAUGUUCAGCUGAAUAAUCUUUUAUAUUUUAACAUGCUAUAUGGUUUUUUUAGUUACUAUAAUGAAACUUUGUAACUUUAAUGUUAAUAUUGUGGAUCCGACGGACGAUCACUACAGACAUAAGCUUACCGCAGUUGUGUGGUUAUCGCGUAGGUAAGCACGGCAAAAUGAGAGUCGUUCCGACACAAACAGAGACAACUACGGUUCGUAUAUAUCCUGGGAUCUUUUUUAGAGAGAGAGAUGGUUUUCCUAUAUUAUACCACAGGAGGACAAAUACCUUUUUAUUCAACAAGAGGAGUCGUUGUCUUUCUUUUUUU
rnacentral:lncRNA from 1 species